AAUCCCAAUGAUGACUUAUUAAGAUUAAAAAUGUUAAAAGUAGUGACUGAUAUCUUUUGAUGAAAUUUUAGCUCUGAGGGAUU
rfam:Arabidopsis thaliana chromosome 4, complete sequence.